rnacentral:rRNA from 1 species
GACGAACGCUGGCGGCGUGCCUAAUACAUGCAAGUAGAACGCUGAAGAGAGGAGCUUGCUCUUCUUGGAUGAGUUGCGCACGGGUGAGUAACGCGUAGGUAACCUGCCUUGUAGCGGGGGAUCACUAUUGGAAACGAUAGCUAAUACCGCAUAACAAUGUAUUACCCAUGUCAUUUAUUUGAAAGGGGCAAAUGCUCCACUACAAGAUGGACCUGCGUUGUAUUAGCUAGUAGGUGAGGUAACGGCUCACCUAGGCGACGAUACAUAGCCGACCUGAGAGGGUGAGCGGCCACACUGGGACUGAGACACGGCCCAGACGCCUACGGGAGGCAGCAGUAGGGAAUCUUCGGCAAUGGGGGCAACCCUGACCGAGCAACGCCGCGUGAGUGAAGAAGGUUGUCGGAUCGGAAAGCUCUGUUGUAAGUCAAGAACGAGUGUGAGAGUGGAAAGUUCACACUGUGACGGUAGCUGACCAGAAAGGGACGGCUAACUACGUG